rnacentral:rRNA from 1 species
UACGAAGGGGGCUAGCGUUGCUCGGAAUUACUGGGCGUAAAGCGUGCGCAGGCGGUUAUGUAAGACAGAUGUGAAAUCCCCGGGCUCAACCUGGGAACUGCAUUUGUGACUGCAUGGCUAGAGUGCGGCAGAGGGGGAUGGAAUUCCGCGUGUAGCAGUGAAAUGCGUAGAUAUGCGGAGGAACACCGAUGGCGAAGGCAAUCCCCUGGGCCUGCACUGACGCUCAUGCACGAAAGCGUGGGGAGCAAACAGG